rnacentral:rRNA from 1 species
UGGGGAAUAUUGCACAAUGGGCGCAAGCCUGAUGCAGCCAUGCCGCGUGUAUGAAGAAGGCCUUCGGGUUGUAAAGUACUUUCAGCGGGGAGGAAGGGAGUAAAGUUAAUACCUUUGCUCAUUGACGUUACCCGCAGAAGAAGCACCGGCUAACUCCGUGCCAGCAGCCGCGGUAAUACGGAGGGUGCAAGCGUUAAUCGGAAUUACUGGGCGUAAAGCGCACGCAGGCGGUUUGUUAAGUCAGAUGUGAAAUCCCCGGGCUCAACCUGGGAACUGCAUCUGAUACUGGCAAGCUUGAGUCUCGUAGAGGGGGGUAGAAUUCCAGGUGUAGCGGUGAAAUGCGUAGAGAUCUGGAGGAAUACCGGUGGCGAAGGCGGCCCCCUGGACGAAGACUGACGCUCAGGUGCGAAAGCGUGGGGAGCAACCAGG